rnacentral:lncRNA from 1 species
CUUUUGUAUAGUCGACCGUCGAUCAUCACAUAUUGGGAAGCCGCCCACCGGAGUCGUUUGGCUUCCGCGGGGUCUUCGGGGGUAGAUCCGUCGGUCAGAUACCAAGCGAUCGGAUCCAUCCAGUUCGGUUCUAUCGCCAAUUGUAGCACCUCUUCGACCUUGUCGAUGCUCGGUUGUUCCAGACUUUCUAUGAAUGUCCGGCCCAAGGUGCCGUAGUCGGAUGUCGCG